rnacentral:rRNA from 1 species
UCCGACCUCAGAUCGGACGAGAUUACCCGCUGAAUUUAAGCAUAUAACUAAGCGGAGGAAAAGAAACUAACAAGGAUUUCCCCAGUAACGGCGAGUGAAGCGGGAAGAGCCCAGCACCGAAUCCCUCAGUGUCACGCUGACGGGAACUGUGGUGUGUGGGACGCCACCAGCUGCAACAGAGGGCGCCGAAGUCCUCCUGAUCGGGGCUUCACCCAGAGCGGGUGUAAGGCCUUUGCAGGUGCCUCUCUGUGCGGCCGCGAGCGUCUCAGGAGUCGGGUUGUUUGGGAAUGCAGCCCAAAGCGGGUGGUAAACUCCAUCUAAGCUAAAUACUUGCACGAGU